rnacentral:lncRNA from 1 species
CAGCGAAGCAUUUCUCCCCCCACCUCUACAGCUGUCUCUGGCACACUCUCUCUCUUCUUUUUAACCCCCUAUGGCGGUGCGCUUCUCCCUCUUUCCGCCCCCCUCUCUCUCUCUCUCUCUUCCCCUCUACUCGAGCCUCUCUCUCUUCCUCUCUACCCGAGCCUCUCUCUCUCUCUCUCCCUUCCCCUCUACUCCUGGCCGCGCCCCGCUUUCUCUCGCUCCCCCUCUCCUCAAGCUGCUGCUCCUCUCUCUCUCUUCCAUCCCUAGCAUUCUCUCUCUCUUCCUUUCUCCUCUUUCUCUCUCUUAACCUCUCUUCGAUCCGACGCUCCCCUCCCCUGGCCUCCAGCUGUCACCCACCGCGGGAUCCGAUCUCUCCCUUCGCUCUACGACACCCGCACCCCUCCCUCUCUCUCCUCUAUCUCUUUGUAAUUUCCUCUACCUUCUCUCUCGCUCUCUAGGUCUAACCCUCGU